AUCGUAUAUAUAUAUAUAAAUAUAUGAACACUCAUACUACGUCAUAGAGAAUACGAACCUACAAAUACGAUGACGUAUAAAAUUUACUACCGCGCACGCGCGCCGAAAAAUCAACUCAGCUGAUUUGUAUCUCAAUAAUUGACAGAAAAUUUUCAAAUUAAUUUCAAUAAAUUGACACUAAAAAAAUUGAUUUGAAAUCCUGAUUAAAAAUCUCCUGUAAGGUGCCGCCAUCUGUACUAUAAACGGAUGUUAAAUUUUAGCGGGUUAUCGACGCAGCUUACGCAGCAAUUUGGUGGUCCAUUAUGCCCCAGAUAUCGCAGAUCAUGAGAAAAUGAAAAAAAAAAUUUUACCAAAUUUUUGAGGAGGACCGACGUGCCCCAGGGAACCGUACCCCAGUUUCCCCCAUAUAAAAUUUGAAUAUCGCGAACAAGAUACCGUAUGAAUUUUUUGUGCACAAUAAUACUUUCAACCCACUGGAAAAUUCCUAAAAAAAAAUUUUGAGAUACUCAAAAUUUUCCAGAAAUUAUGAAAAAAAUCCAAGUGACAAAAGUCGAAAAUUUUUGGGUGAAUUUUGCCCGCUCUUUUUCUAUAAAAUAAUUAUCAAUUGAAAACUUAUAAUUGAUCUGUUUAAUGACAUUAUUAAAGUAUUUUGUAUAAUAUAUAUGAAGUAUAGUUUAUAUAUAUUCAGUCUCCGGUUGUUUAUAAACUUAAUCUAGUACGUGUUAUUAUUGAAUUUGACUAGUAUUUGAAAGCCUAAGGCAGAAUGCGUCAGAGUACUUUACUGAUGAUAUGAGACACUUUGUGCAUAUGAGAAUAAUAUCCAUUAGAUCACUAUGACACGGUUUAUUAUUAUUUUAUAGUUUCAUAUAUAUUUAAAUAAUGUUACUUUUAACACUUUAUGAUGCUUGUAAACAUUUAUGAAGACACAUGACUAACAGAAAUUACCAAAGUAACGUCAAUUUGCAAGU